UACGGGGGGAGCAAGCGUUGUUCGGAUUUACUGGGCGUAAAGGGCGCGUAGGCGGCGUAACAAGUCACUUGUGAAAUCUCCGGGCUUAACCCGGAGCGGCCAAGUGAUACUGUUGUGCUAGAGUGCGGAAGGGGCUACUGGAAUUCUCGGUGUAGCGGUGAAAUGCGUAGAGAUGUGGAGGAACACCAGUGGCGAAGGCGACUCUUUGGCCUGUAACUGACGCUGAGGCGCGAAAGCGUGGGGAGCAAACAGG
rnacentral:rRNA from 1 species